rnacentral:rRNA from 1 species
UAAGGUAGCGAAAUUCCUUGGCGGGUAAGUUCCGACCCGCACGAAAGGUAGAACGAUCUGGGCGCUGUCUCGACAGGGGACUCGGCGAAAUUGUAGUGACGGUGAAGAUACCGUUGACCCGUGGCAGGACAAAAAGACCCCGUGGAGCUUUACUCCAACUUGUCGUUGGGCGAGGGCGCGGCUUGUGUAGGAUAGGUGGGA